GACAGAGGGUGCAAACGUUGUUCGGAAUUACUGGGCGUAAAGCGCGUGUAGGCGGCCAAGUGUGUCGGAUGUGAAAUCCCGCAGCUCAACUGUGGAAGUGCAUUCGAAACUGCUUGGCUGGAGUUUCGGAGAGGAAGGCGGAAUGCUUGGUGUAGAGGUGAAAUUCGUAGAUAUCGGAAGGAACACCAGUGGCGAGGGCGGCUCACUGGACUGGUAUUGACGCUGAGGUGCGAAAGCGUGGGGAGCAAACAGG
rnacentral:rRNA from 1 species